CGGAAAAGACAUAAAAGUUUUAAUGUUUUUAUACAUGCACAGGAGACUUUGUAAGAAAAAUAAAGACCCGUAGAAGUUACUAGGCCCAAAAGCUUAUAUGUCCUUUUAAACAAAGAACAAUAAAUUGCAGGGAUGUGACACGACAAAGGGGCUUGGGCUAAGGCUGGCAAAUUGUGGGAAAGUGACUAAGAACUGUAUGUGGAAAGUUAAUGAAAAAUAUAGGUUACAAAUUUUUGUAAGGUUUUGUUUGUAGAUUCAUCUCAGUGGCAACUCUGCCUCUAGCAAUAAUACUCUCCUCUUCCUGGUACAGAAAGGGCACCUUUCAUAAGGGAACUUUUAUGUUCCGCCUCAAACAGAAAGAGGGUGGUCAGAGAGCCUUCCCUGCAUCUGUUUUUGCUCCAUUGCCCCUGGCUCAGAAGAAUCAAUAUGCCAAAGUGGCAUAUUUUGGGAUGGCAGGCUCUAAACACUUCACCUAGUCUCCUCAACCACUUUUACAGUUGGCCCUAAUCCCCAUAAGAGUCCUGGAAACUUAUUUUUACUGUUACGGAAACAGAUUUAGAGGGGGGAUGACUGAGCCACAACCCACACCCCAGAGGGCUGCUCCAAAGUCCUCCUCGAAAUUGGUGCCAACGGCAGCAGCUAUAAUGACAGCCAGUUCACAUAGAAGUGCCUCUGUUGAUCACCAAUUAACAGUAAAAUCUGAUAAUAUCUCAUUCCAAGGUUGUCAUAAGCACUAAAUGUGGUUUUGUGACAUAAUAGGCAUUUGUUUCUCCCCAUUGCUUCCCACCACAAUAUAUUCAUCAAGACUUUUCCAAGGAUACUAAGUCUAGGAAACCCAGGAUCAUGAAGAGAGGACAUGCUCUUCCAAAUGAGGCUGAGGAGAGACUUGUCUGGCGAGGCCUGUACUGACUAGUGACAUUAAAAGAGGCGAUCUGACUUCUCAUACUGCGCUUGUCCCAGGCCCGCUGUUUGUCAACUGCUGGGUCCUCAGAGCCAAAACUGUUUUCCAACAGUUUUGAAUUGAAUAACAGCCAGUUAUUCAAUUUUCUCCACAUUCUCUAAUCGGUAUACUCUUCAGAGUCCAAGGGACUUGCAACGAUAUUACCCAAUGGCUGAAGAAUGUGCGCUUGACAUCUUAGGCUGUAAAAUGUCUCAAUUUCAAUUUCUAAAACAUAAAUGUCAGUGGAUGGCAUUUUCUGAAUCCCUUGUCGAUGUCCGUAAAUGGCAUGCUCUGAAUUCAACUAAACAAAAGUAUGGGUUGGGGGGAGAUGUAGGGGCAUGUCCAAAUUAUAAUUUUUAAGAGUGUAAAGGGGUCCUGAGAAAGAUUGCCAGAUUUUUUUUUUUUCUUGAGUUAGAGUCUCACUCUAUCCCCCAGGCUGAAGUGCAAUGGCAUGAUCUUGGCUCACUGCAGGCUCUACCUCCCGCACUCAAGAGAUUCUUCUGCCGCAGCCUCCAGAGUAGCUGGGAUUACCCCGGAGCCCGCCACUACUGAGCCUGGCUAACUUUUGUAUUUUUAGUAGAGAAGGGGUUUCACCAUGUUGGCCAGGCUGAUUUCGAACUCCUGAGCUCAAGUAAUCCGCCAGCCUUGGUCUCCCAAAGUGCUGGGAUUGCAAGCGUGAGCCACCACGCCAGACCUGGAUUGCCAGAUUUAGCACAUAAAAAUACAGGACUCCCAGUUAAACUCCUCUCAGAUAAACCAUUAUUGCAUGAAAUACACUCACGCUAAAAACAAUUGUUCGUCGUUUACCUGAAAGUCACAUUUCAUUGGGCGUCCUGCAUUUUACCCCGCAAAUUCUAGGCCUGACACCAAAAAGUUUGAGAACCGCGCCCCUAGGCGACAGCAAGCGGAACUACCGCAAGCUCCCAGUAAUUCCGGGUGCUGCACUUCCGGUCAGGCGGUCGGGCUGCGCGGCCCUGGGGCCAGCUCACCGCCGGAAGCCUCCGCGUCCCCGCCGGCCAUAUCCCGUUCCCGGUCCUGCUUCCCAGUGCCUCGGGCCUCCCGGGGCUGGUGCUGGGCGCCGAGCCGGCGGAACCGGCGGAACCCGCUUCCCGCCUCCACGCGGCAGCGCUAGCGGCCUAGUCCCUUCACGGGCAGCUCGGUGCUGUCGCCCUCACCGCUCUUCCUAUCGCCGGGAGUGGUGGGCCGACCAGGGGGCGGCCGGGCUAGCGUCCGCCAUUCCCGUGUCUCUGCGCCCGCGGGGGCCGCCCGAGCCGGCCACCAUGCCGCUGGGCCUGAAGCCCACCUGCAGCGUAUGCAAGACCACGUCGUCCUCCAUGUGGAAGAAGGGCACGCAGGGGGAGAUCCUCUGCCAUCAUUGCACUGGCCGGGGCGGCGCGGGCAGCGGGGGCGCAGGCUCGGGGGCGGCUGGAGGGACUGGGGGCAGCAGCGGCGGUGGCGGCGGCUUCGGCGCGGCGACCUUCGCCAGCACCUCCGCCACUCCUCCGCAGAGCAACGGGGGCGGGGGCGGCAAGCAGAGUAAGCAGGAAAUUCACAGGAGGUCUGCUCGGCUCAGAAACACUAAAUACAAAUCUGCUCCGGCUGCUGAGAAGAAAGUUUCCACCAAAGGAAAAGGGAGAAGACAUAUAUUUAAAUUGAAAAAUCCCAUUAAAGCUCCUGAGUCAGUUUCCACUAUAAUCACUGCAGAAUCAAUCUUCUACAAGGGAGUAUAUUACCAAAUUGGUGAUGUUGUUUCUGUGAUUGAUGAACAAGAUGGAAAGCCCUACUACGCUCAAAUCAGAGGUUUUAUCCAGGACCAGUAUUGCGAGAAGAGUGCAGCACUGACGUGGCUCAUUCCUACCCUCUCUAGCCCCAGAGACCAAUUUGAUCCCGCCUCCUAUAUCAUAGGGCCAGAGGAAGAUCUUCCAAGGAAGAUGGAAUACUUGGAAUUUGUUUGUCAUGCACCUUCUGAGUAUUUCAAGUCACGGUCAUCACCAUUUCCCACAGUUCCCACCAGACCAGAGAAGGGCUACAUAUGGACUCAUGUUGGGCCUACUCCUGCAAUAACAAUUAAGGAAACAGUUGCCAACCAUUUGUAGUUCACAAAUUAAAACUGGAUUUCCAGGCCUGGUGUGGUGGCUCACGCCUGUAGUCCCAGCUAUUGCACCACUGCUCUCCAGGCUGGGCAAUGGAGUGAGAUUCUGUCUCUUAAAAAUAUCACAAAAAAACUGGAUUUCCAGUUCUCUGAUCUUCUUAGUACCACAGGAUAUGUCAUAGGCAAAAGCUGUAAUUUCCAGAGAGACCAUUAGGAACAGACUGCCUGCCCUGCUGACUUAAGGCCCCGACACCAAACACAGAAGCAACAGCUUUGCACAGAACGUUCAGCAAGCUCCCACAAUUGUAUAAGCAGCCCGAGCUGACAGAGAUGGAUAGAAACAACACAAGGACCCAUCAGCAGACGAGUGGAUGAUCAAAACGUGAACUGCAUAAUGACGACUGCACAAGAUACCAAAUCAGAAGAGGUUCCAUUUCCAAGUUCUGAUUCAUAAGAGCUUCCAAAGUAGAGCCGGUACAUAUUGAAUUUUGAUUCAUCUGGAAGGAUCUCGGACAUCUCUAAGGAAACAAGGGACUGAUCUAAGCCACAUUCUCCAUCUCCAGCUGAAUCGUCAGAGCCACUGCUAUGGUUAAGAAAGACCAUUGAAGACAGACUUAGGUCACUAUCAGAGCUGGAACUUCCAUCCUAAAAUACACAAAAGGACAACCAGUUUAAAGAUGUAAACAAUUUUAGUCUCAGAAAUAAAUAAUAACAUAGUAUUCUAUCACAGCAAUACAAGAAACUUAGAAGCAUUUUUCAAAAAACUCAUUAAUUCUCUAAUGGUUUUGAGGCACAUGGUAAAAAUUUAACUAUUAAAAUAUAAAGAUAACAUAGAAUGUGUAGAUAAUUUACCAACCAUCCCCCAAGAAAGUCUGUAAUGAAGCUAAGACUCAGACCUCUGGGCUUUAUUUUUAUGUCUCUGACAUUCCAUUCAUACUUUUCUACUCCAAAAUGAUGAAUCAACAUGUUAUAGAGUGCUUUCUCAUUAUAGAGAGCUCUACAAAUACACACCUUUCUGGUAGUAAAGGGAGAGGGGAGAACUUCAAUGGCUUGCCAAAAUAGCAAAAACUUAGGGAGUAUCUGAUUUAGAAACUGUAGGCUCUGUAGACAUUCCAACCAAAUGUGGUAAAGAAGAGUAAUAGAAUAAUCCUUCCUAGAAAAUAUAUGGUAAAGUCUAUAAUGUAACAGUUCAAAUAUCUACUGUAAAUAUUAAAAUCAUAAUACUAUCUUUAGAGAAAAGGCUGAUGCUAAGGUUGGGAUACAGAAAGCACAAGAUAAACCAAGAAUAUUUUUCUUUUUGGGGGGCAGGGUCUCACUCUGUCAUCCAUGCUGGAGUGCAGUGGCACAAUCAUGGCUCACUGCAUCCUGGACUUCCUCAAGUGAUCCUCCUGCCUCAGCCUCUCCCGAGUAGCUAGGACUACAGGUGUGCACCACCAUGGCCAGCUCAUUUUUAAAUUUUUCGUAGAGACAAGUCCCACUCUGUUGUCCAUAAUGGGUAUAGUUUGUGUAACCAUAGUUUGGUCUCAAACUAGGCUCAAAUGAUCCUCCUGCCUUGGCCUGCCAAAGUGCUGGGAUUACAGACAUGAGCCACUGCACCUGGCCAAGAAUAACUUACUGUAUCUGGAAGUGAGGAAGUGAUUCAAGAAUGAUGAGGACAUGUCAUAAAGAUAUAGGAGCCAUACAAAAGGGGCUCCUAUUGGCCAGAUUGGGACAAUUUGAGCUUCAAAACAACAGCUUUAACUAAUUAUUUUUUAGAAGUUAAAGUACAAAAAACUAAAAACUCUAAUUAUUUUUCUGUUUGUAGUAUUUAAUUCAUGGUAUCCUAAUUUAAAUAAUAUCCUUGCAAACACCAACAUGUUUUUGCCAAUAUUAAGGUAAUGUUAAAGAAACAGACACCAAACUCUUCAUAAUUAUAAAUUCUCUGCAAAACCCAUAUUCCAACUAUGGAACAUUCAACUAAAGGUAAACUUAUACUUCUAUACAGUUUUACCAAAGUUGUUUAAAAAAUAGCAUUUUUUUAAGGUUGAAAUUUUGACAUUGUACUUCUCUUAUCACUCAUAAAAUGUCAUAACAACUUCCUCAUAUAACUUGCCUGGAGUCCACUUGAGAGCAGCAUUCCAUGUAAGGCCUCCAAUUGGGCAUUGUAAAGUAAAGCUUUCAGAUCAGCUCCAGUAAAGGAGUCGGUUACAGAUGCUACAUGCUGAAGGUCAACAUCAUCUGCCAGAGGUAGAGAGUCACUGAGGGCAUUUAAAAUUUCGAGACGUGACACCUGAAGGGAGAAAAAUUUAUUUAACAAAUAAAAAAUAUUAAAAAUAUUAUCUUAAA